rnacentral:rRNA from 1 species
AUUGAACGCUGGCGGCAGGCCUAACACAUGCAAGUCGAACGAGUGGCGGACGGGUGAGUAAUGUCUGGGAAACUGCCUGAUGGAGGGGGAUAACUACUGGAAACGGUAGCUAAUACCGCAUACCAUCAGAUGUGCCCAGAUGGGAUUAGCUUGUUGGUGGGGUAACGGCUCACCAAGGCGACGAUACCUAGCUGGUCUGAGAGGAUGACCACACACCCUGGAACUUAGACACGGUCCAGACUCCUACGGGAUGCAGCAGUGGGGAAUAUUGCAAAAUGUGCCCAAGCCUGAUUCAGCCAGGCCGCUUGUAGGACGAAGGCCUUCGGGUUUUAAAGUACUUUCAGCGGGGAGGCGUUACCCGCAGAAGAAGCACCGGCUAACUCCGUGCCAGCAGCCGCGGUAAUUC